GGAACGUGAGAGCGGCCAACACAGCGUUUUCGACGACACCGACUUUCUGCAUUAGAGUCCCUAUGUUGUUGCAUACCGGGACGCAGAAAUAGAAGCGAAAAUGGCUUCUAUAUGAAACGUUUUCCAAUAAGUAAAAAACAAAAAAUUAUAUAGUUGAAACAAAUUGGAAGAGAAAACUGGAAACCGAAACAAUAUUCAGCAAUUUGUGAGGUUCAUCUUACUAAAGAAAUGUGGGAAAAACCGCGACAGGAUGGUUCCAAAAAAUUAAAAGCACAAGCAGUGCCAACAAGUUUUCCUCAUACAAAAGUAAUGUCGGAAUCUUUCGAUGGAAAAAUAAAGAAGUUAAAAUAUGAUAAA